GGCGGGCAGAGCCGCCGCUGGCGGCGUCAAGGGAGACAGUCUUUUGGUGGUGUGUGAACUCGAGCCCGACCUCCGUCUUCUGCACGUUGGUGAGUGAGGGGUCGGGAUCACGUGGGCAGAGAAAGCACUUCACCUUGCUGCCCUCGAAGAAUUUGAAUGUCUCGGUGUCGUGGGUCUUCAUCAACCCGGCAUUUCCGAGGAGGGAGAGGGACGUGCGAUCCUGCCACGGCAUGACGAGGACAGUGAC
rnacentral:misc_RNA from 1 species